rnacentral:misc_RNA from 1 species
AGUUGUGAGCUUUGUUUCGGAGCGGGAGCUCUUCCGAGACGCACUGGGGGCCGGAUGUAGAAUCCUGCUUAUCUGUGAAAUGCAGUUAACACAUCAGCUGGACCUAUUUCCCGAAUGCAGGGUAACCCUUCUGUUAUUUAAAGAUGUAAAAAAUGCGGGAGACUUGAGAAGAAAGGCCAUGGAAGGCACCAUCGAUGGAUCACUGAUAAAUCCUACAGUGAUUGUUGAUCCAUUUCAGAUACUUGUGGCAGCAAACAAAGCAGUUCACCUCUACAAACUGGGAAAAAUGAAGACAAGAACUCUAUCUACUGAAAUUAUUUUCAACCUUUCCCCAAAUAACAAUAUUUCAGAGGCUUUGAAAAAAUUUGGUAUCUCAGCAAAUGACACUUCAAUUCUAAUUGUUUACAUUGAAGAGGGAGAAAAACAAAUAAAUCAAGAAUACCUAAUAUCUCAAGUAGAAGGUCAUCAGGUUUCUCUGAAAAAUCUUCCUGAAAUAAUGAAUAUUACAGAAGUCAAAAAGAGAUGUGGUCUCACUAUGUUGCCCAGAUUGGUCUCAAAAUCCUGGACUCAAGUGAUGCUUCUGCUGCGCCUC